rnacentral:rRNA from 1 species
UACACACGGAUAACAUACCGAAAGGUAUGCUAAUACGGGAUAAUAUAUUUGAGAGGCAUCUCUUAAAUAUCAAAGGUGAGCCAGUACAGGAUGGACCCGCGUCUGAUUAGCUAGUUGGUAAGGUAACGGCUUACCAAGGCAACGAUCAGUAGCCGACCUGAGAGGGUGAUCGGCCACAUUAGAACUGAGACACGGUCCAAACUCCUACGGGAGGCAGCAGUGGGGAAUAUUGCACAAUGGGCGGAAGCCUGAUGCAGCAACGCCGCGUGAGUGAUGAAGGCCUUCGGGUCGUAAAACUCUGUCCUCAAGGAAGAUAAUGACGGUACUUGAGGAGGAAGCCCCGGCUAACUACGUGCCAGCAGCCGCGGUAAUACGUAGGGGGCUAGCGUUAUCCGGAUUUACUGGGCGUAAAGGGUGCGUAGGCGGUCUUUCAAGUCAGGAGUGAAAGGCUACGGCUCAACCGUAGUAAGCUCUUGAAACUGGGAGACUUGAGUGCAGGAGAGGAGAGUGGAAUUCCUAGUGUAGCGGUGAAACGCGUAGAUAUUAGGAGGAACACCAGUUGCGAAGGCGGCUCUCUGGACUGUAACUGACGCUGAGGCACGAAAGCGUGGGGAGCAAACAGGAUUAGAUACCCUGGUAGUCCACGCUGUAAACGAUGAGUACUAGGUGUCGGGGGUUACCCCCUUCGGUGCCGCAG